GACGAACGCUGGCGGCGUGCUUAACACAUGCAAGUCGAACGGAAAGGCCCUGCUUUUGUGGGGUGCUCGAGUGGCGAACGGGUGAGUAACACGUGAGUAACCUCCCCUUGACUUUGGGAUAACUUCAGGAAACUGGGGCUAAUACCGGAUAGGAGCUCCUGCGGCAUGGGGGGGGUUGGAAAGUUUCGGCGGUUGGGGAUGGACUCGCGGCUUAUCAGCUUGUUGGUGGGGUAGUGGCUUACCAAGGCUUUGACGGGUAGCCGGCCUGAGAGGGUGACCGGCCACAUUGGGACUGAGAUACGGCCCAGACUCCUACGGGAGGCAGCAGUGGGGAAUAUUGCACAAUGGGCGGAAGCCUGAUGCAGCAACGCCGCGUGCGGGAUGACGGCCUUCGGGUUGUAAACCGCUUUCGCCUGUGACGAAGCGUGAGUGACGGUAAUGGGUAAAGAAGCACCGGCUAACUACGUG
rnacentral:rRNA from 1 species